rnacentral:rRNA from 1 species
AUGCUGCGGCUGGAUCCGGGGGAGUACGACGAGGAGACGAUGGGCGGGGCCGUCAAGGAGGAGGAUGACUCCGACGAGGAAGGAGAGGAGGACGACUUCUUGGUGGCCGGCGACGAGCCGCGGCCUCCGGAGCAGCAGGGGCGGCGGCGGGGCCGGGGGAGGGAGGAGAAGGAGCGGACCAAGGCGCGGGAGCGGCGCCGGCGGGCGGUGACGGGGCGGAUCCUGGCGGGGCUGCGCCGGCACGGCGGCUUCGGCCUCCGCUCCCGCGCCGACGUCAACGAGGUCGUCGCCGCGCUCGCCCGCCACGCCGGCUGGGUCGUCCUCCCCGACGGCACCACCUUCCCCUCCUCCUCCCACCCCCAGCUCGGGGUGGUGAGCGUGAAGGGCGAGGUGGCGGAGGCCGACGAGCUGGUGGCGCAGCUGCGGGUGCUCAAGGCGGCGGGCGUCGACGGCGUCAUGGUCGACUGCUGGUGGGGCAACGUUGAGGCGCACCGCCCGCAGGAGUACAACUGGGCCGGCUACAAGCGCCUUUUCCACAUCAUCAGGGACCUCAAGCUCAAGCUGCAGGUGGUCAUGUCAUUCCAUGAGUGCGGAGGCAACGUCGGGGACGACGUGUCGAUUCCUCUCCCGGAAUGGGUGAUAGAGAUCGGGAAGAGCAACCCGGACAUCUACUUUACCGACAGGGAAGGCAGGCGUAACACGGAGUGCCUCUCGUGGGGCAUUGAUAAAGAAAGGGUUCUGCAAGGCCGAACCGCCGUGGAGGUGUACUUUGACUUCAUGAGAAGCUUCCGAGUAGAAUUUGACGAGUAUUUCGAGGAUGGGAUCAUUUCAGAAAUUGAGGUUGGACUAGGGGCUUGUGGAGAGUUACGGUAUCCAUCUUAUGCAGCAAACCAUGGCUGGAAAUACCCUGGCAUUGGAGAAUUUCAGUGCUAUGACAGGUACUUGCAGAAAAAUCUGAGGAGGGCUGCAGAAGCACGAGGACAUGCUAUGUGGGCAAAGUCACCGGACAACGCAGGCCACUAUAAUUCUGAACCAAACAACACUGGAUUUUUCUGUGACGGAGGAGAUUAUGAUAGCUAUUAUGGCCGGUUUUUUCUCAACUGGUACGCCCAGGUGUUGCUGGAUCAUGCGGACCGCGUGCUGAUGUUAGCCAGGUUGGCCUUUGAAGGCUCGGCUAUUGCUGUCAAGGUGUCAGGCAUACACUGGUGGUACAAAACUGCCAGCCAUGCUGCUGAGCUGACUGCUGGGUUCUACAACCCAUGUAACCGCGAUGGCUAUGCUCCAAUUGCCCAAGUAUUGAAAAAGCAUGGCGCGGCGUUGAACUUCACAUGUGUUGAGCUGCGCACCAUGGAUCAGCAUGAGGUGUACCCCGAGGCCUUGGCAGAUCCAGAGGGCUUGGUAUGGCAGGUGCUGAAUGCUGCGUGGGAUGCCGGGAUACAAGUGGCCAGCGAGAACGCCCUGCCUUGCUACGACAGGGAUGGCUUCAACAAGACCUUGGAGAACGCCAAGCCGCGGAACGACCCGGAUGGGCGGCACCUGUUCGGGUUCACCUACCUGAGGCUCUGCAGCACCCUCUUCGAGGGACCCAACCUCCCCGAGUUUGAGCGUUUCGUCAAGAGGAUGCACGGCGAGGCGGUUCAUGACUUGAGGGCGUAG